AGAGUUUGAUCAUGGCUCAGAAUCAACGCUGGUGGCGUGCCUAACACAUGCAAGUCGAACGAGAAAGUCCCCGCAAGGGGAUGAGUAAAGUGGCGACCGGGUGAGUAACACGUGACUAACCUACCUUCAAGUGGGGAAUAACCUCGGGAAACCGGGGCUAAUACCGCAUAACAUCGCAGCCGUAAGGGCGGCGAUCAAAGGAGUAAUCCGCUGGAAGAGGGGGUCGCGGCUGAUUAGCUAGUUGGUGAGGUAACGGCUCACCAAGGCAGUGAUCAGUAUCCGGCCUGAGAGGGCGCACGGACACACUGGAACUGAAACACGGUCCAGACUCCUACGGGAGGCAGCAGUGGGGAAUUUUGCGCAAUGGGGGAAACCCUGACGCAGCAACGCCGCGUGGAGGAUGAAGUCCCUUGGGACGUAAACUCCUUUCGAACGGGACGAUAAUGACGGUACCGUAAGAAGAAGCCCGGCUAACUUCGUGCCAGCAGCCGCGGUA
rnacentral:rRNA from 1 species